GUGUCCCGUCUUUCGAUGAGAUGGUGGAUUUCGCUUUGGUGGAAGUCGACUUUAACGAUCCGACUACGAACGUGCGAGGACGUCGCGCCUUAGCAAUCGCUAAACCAACUCCGAGAGGUUAUUGACCACGCCGGAGCACGAUCAACCUGACCACGAGGGUAUGUUUCCUGCGAGAAAACAAAGGACAAGCAAGAAACUAAGAUUGCAAUCUGGAUAUUGCGAAUAUAAGAUGAAAGCUUUAUUGAUCAAGGUGGGGUUCUGUGACGCCUUUGUCUGGUCGUUGGACACAAACGAAGUACGCGAAGUUGCAGCUAUGGCGAACUUUUAAUCUAAACAAAACCCAAAGUCUAAACGGUGCCCUAAGGGCUGUAUAUAUGGAGGAAGAGAGGGGAAUUUCGUGGCCCUUGGUGGAGGGGUCCAAAAUCAACCCUAUCUCUUGUUUCCCCACACAUACGGACUCUAAAAAUAGCCUAUACUUAUGUAUUUCGAAAUUACAUGGGCCUGGCCCAAUAAAAAGGUGACGCAGCACCUAUAAUAGCCUCGGGACGAAAUUUAUGAAGCGGCAUCUUGUAUAUUUCGUCCAAGGCUUCAUGCACCCAUUAUGGUGGCUUCAAAGUCCUGAAAUCAUCACUUGUAACUCCGUUCUUGUUCCCCUUGCGCAUGGCAUCAUCUCUAUGCUUGUUCUUGCUCCAAUGUUCAUCCUUCUCCAAGCUAGGCCCUUCAUUUGUAAGCAAAACAAAUGUAUCCAAUUUAGGCAGCAUCAUAUUCUCAUGAACAUUAGAAUCAUUACCAAGAAACGAAAGUACCUGAUAAUUUAAUUGGCGUGCGCGAGCUCUAGUAAUUGGUCCCGUAUAUGUAGCAGUAGGGGCUGUGGGUGUAACAAUGGUAUUGAUGUCCUCAUCAGGGGUUAUUGACCACGCUGGAGCACGAUCAACCUGACCACGAGGGCUUGUUUCCUGCAAGCAAACGAAGAACAAGCAAGAAAUUGAGAUUGCAAUCUUGAUGUUGUGAAUAUAAGAUGAAAGCUUUAUUGAUCAAGGUGGGGUUCUGUGACCUCUUGGUCUGGUCGCUGGACACAAACGAAGUACGCGAAGUUGCAGCUAUGGCAAACUUUUAAUCUAAACAUAACCCAAAGUCUAAACGACGCCCUAAGGGCUGUAUUUAUGGAGGAAGAGGGGGAUUUCAUGGCCCUUGGAGGAGGGGUCCGAAACCAAGCCUAACUCUUGUUUCCCCACACAUACGAACUCUAAAAACAUCCUAUACUUAAGUAUUUUGAAAAUACAUGGGCCUGGCCCAAUAAUAAGGUGACGCAACACCUAAAAUAGCCUCUGGACGAAAUUUAUGAAGUGGCAUCUUGUAUAUUUCGUCCAAGGCUUCAUGCACUCCUUAUGGUGGCUCCAAAGUCCUGAAAUCAUCACUUGUAACACCGUUCUUGACCCCCUUGCGCAUGCCAUCAAAUCCAUGCUUGAACUUGCUCCAAGGUUCAUCUUUCUUGUCUAAGCUAGGCCCUUCAUUUGUAAGCAAAACAAAUGUAUCCAAUUUAGGCAGCAUCAUAUUCUCAUGAACAUUAGAAUCGUUACCAAGAAAUGAAAGUACCUGAUAAUUCAAUUGGCGUGCGCGAGCUCUAGUAAUUGGUCCAGUAUGUACAGCAGCAGGGGCUGUGGGGUGUAACAAUGGUAUUGAUGUCCUCAUCAUGGUCUACCAACUCCUGGUAGUUAGUGAAGGUUGCCACCAUCAACUACAUACUCAUCUCAUCAUUCAGCCCUUCCAUAAACUUCUCCUGCUUCGCGGCAUCUGUGGCCACAUCAUCUGGGGCAUAGCGGGCUAGCUUGCUAAACUCAUCCACGUAUUGCCCCACAGUACGGUUUCUUUGGCGUAAGUUGUGAAACUCACGCUUCUGCAUAUUCAUUGCUCCUGUAGAGACAUGGGCUGUGCGGAAUGCUUGCUGAAACUGAUCCCAUGUGACAUUAGCUAUGGGAAAAGUGGUUGUGUAAUUCUCCCACCAUGAGGCUGCGGGUCCAUCCAGUUGGUGUGCGACAAAGCACACCUUCUCCGCAUCUGUGCAACCUGCGGUGGUCAACUCCCUUCCAAUCCUAUGUAGCCAGUCAUCACAACAAUCGGCUCGGUGCUACUGGAAAACACCGGCGGAUUCAACCUUAGAAAACGGGCUAGGUUUUCCACUAGAGGUGGUGGCGGUGGGUUGUUGUUAUUGUUGCCUUGGUUCUGGACUAGUAGCUGCAUCAAGGCAUUCUGCUGCUGGAUCAACUGAGUGAGUUCUGGUGGAAAGACAAAUCCGGGGUCACGUCUCAGAGGCAUCUGAUGGGUUUAGAGGGAAGAGAUUAAAAUAGAAUGAGGUCUAAAGAGAAAGCACUACCCAUAUGCACAUGAGACAAACACAUUCAUAUCACACCAAUCAAUUCAAACAAGGGCAUACAAUCGAUCUAGCUACCGUUACAAAAUACUCAGACUACUACUAUAUACAUGGGGGUAAUACUACUAAUAAUAUGGUGGUCAUCUAGAAAUUUUGAUCGGUAGAAGACUCCAUGAUAUCCGCUCCAGCUUCGUCUUCGUAAUCAUCAUCACUACUGUCGGGGUCGGAGUCGGUGUCGUCGAUGAUGAUGCAGUCCUCGGGAUGGUCGUCAUCUCCUCCUGGUGUGGGGUCUCCCAUGAUACUCCUAGCUUCCUCGUCAAGUCAUCAUUCUUUUCUACUACUAUUGUGAUUUCCUCCUCGUAUCUGUCACGUGUAGACUUGAGUUCCUCUUCCAGCUCCAUGUUCCUAGUCAUCAACUUCUUCAGAUCUAUCAUGUUUGCGCACAUUUGGUUCUCCUAGCGACGAAUGUGUUGGUUUAACUCCUGGAUGAAGGCUACAAUGGACCUGUCCCUCCUGGUGCUGAUCAUCUCCCAUUGCUCAUCUCGGCGCCCGCAUAUCUGGUAGAUAGUGUCUUUAAGAUCCUUGUGAUAAACUUCGCUCAUGCAUCCCAUGGUGAUGUGGUCUGCCAUGCUCUUUCCUAGACUCCAGGUUGGUGCAUCAAAGGAAAACUCUAUGGGCUCAGUAACUGGCGUGAAUGUCCUUCCUGGAACUUGAACUCGAAUCAUCCAACGCUCCUCUUCUGGUAAAGUGGCGGUGUACGUCCCGGUGAAGCUUGUUAUUCCAAUGUUCACGUACCUAGUGACUUCCUUCAAAUGUCGUCCAAAGGUGUGUCUUCAUCCGGUUGAGCAAACUUGUGCCUUGGGUCCGCCAUCUAUAGAGUGGAAAAUGGAGAAGUCAUAAAUGAGUAGAGAAGAGUGACCUAUGGCUUAUCUUAGUGGCCGCGUCCUACAAUCAGUGUGUGCUCUGAUACCAUCUUGUAGCGAUCUGACCUCAAACGGUCAAAUCUCUAUGCUUAAGUGUCAUCCAUGGAUCGGUAAUGCUGACACACGCAAUACUUGAAGGAUUUAUAACAGAGUUGCAAUCACACACUUAUUACAUCGAAUAACUCAUAAAAGAGUACUUAUUACAUCGAAUAACUCAUAAAAGAGUACUUAUUACAAUAAUAUGGCUUAAGGCCGUCUAAAUACGAUAACAGUGGAAGGCUUGGAAGAUAAAGUGAGUCUAUCAACUCCAACGGCAUAGUUGAGUGCACGACAACGACCUAGCGCACCUUACUCUUUGUCUGAAAAGUCUGCAACAUAAUAAGUUGCAGCCCAAAAAUGGGUCAGCACAUGGAAUAUGCUGGCAAAAUAACACUAUAGAGCAAUGAACAAGUAACAGCUACAACUAUAUGCACAUUUGGCUGGUGGAGUCUCUAUGGUUAAUAUGUUUUUGCGAAAAUCCAAUUUUUUCCUACAAUAAAGGAAUAUAUUUUGUUUAACUAUCAUGGUAGUUGAUAAACAUUGAGAAGGUUCCUCCAACUCAAUCCCAAUUAAGCAGUAUUAAUAACCCAACAAAUUAAUUUAGAGUGAAGAGAUCAACAUGACAAUCCAAGAAGCAGAUACUCAAGAUGUCCAUAACCGGGGACACGGCUAACCAUGAUUAGUUUGUACAAUCUAUAGAGGUUUGCGCACCUUUCCCCACAAGACUCGAUCUCCUCCAUUGAAUUUCUCGCACUACAUGGUGUUUGAGAAACGGAUGACCGAGACACAGUCUUUCAGAAGCAUUUACUCUUUACUCUGGGUAGACAGUUCCACCUACAUCCCCUACAUCUCCUAGCCUACCACUGAAAGAGGUCACACAACAUACUCAACUAUGCCAGAGCCCAUAAUGGCUUGUGGCUGCACACGGAAGUUUCCAGCACGAAUAAUCUUAUGAUCCUUUUGAGCCUGGGUGGCGAACCGUAGGAUGAUCACACGGGUACUCCGGGAUAUCCUAGGACAACACUGGAUUCUCCAGGUGCCCGCAACCAAUCCACCCAGAUGUGUAUUUAAGUAGCCACCUUAAGUUAACCAUUAAUUAACAAUCUCACAUCUGUCAUGGAUGCACUCAAACUCAAUCCACGUCUACGAGCAUAGCAUAGCAGUAUAAGCAUAACGUAAAAGUAACUCCCAGGGUUUGAUAAUAAAAGGGCAAUAGGUUCUACCCUAUCAUCUACUUCCCAAUACCCACAUGUUAAGAGAUCCUACUCAUGCAAUGUUUGAGGGUUGAAACUAAUGCAUAAAACCUGGGUGAUCAAGAGGUAUGAUCAAAGUGUUACUUGCCUUGCUGAUGAUCUGCAAACCCUAGAGACUCGUAGUAGCACUCUUCGCACUCCGGGAAUUCUAUCCCAAACAAACAAUAGCAUACAUAAGAACUUAAGCAUAGAUGCAAGGGUAAAACUCAAAUAAGAAAGUCCAAACUGAAAUUCAAUUAAAGAGCUUCGAUUUGCAAAAAGAAUCAAACGAAUCGGAGCUACGGAACUAAAACUAUGAUCAAAAGAACUUCGAAUUCAAAUCUGCUUGAAACCAAAUUUUAAAUUCUCAAAAUCAUGUUCAAGUUUUUUAACUGGAAAGAGGGGUUCGAGACGAAGAAUUUGGCGUUGGUUUCACUGGAUUUGGAUGAACGGUUGAAAAGUUAUGAGGGUUUGAAGAUCAGGGGCUAAUCUGCGAUAAAAAUAAUCGUGGAUAGGUCCCUCGCAAAAAUAAAACAAAAAAAGAAAAAAUCUAUCGAACGAACGUCCGCUAGCCGAGGCAAACGAACGAAUUCGUUCGUUAUUAGAUCUAAACGAACCUUCGUAAAUUAGAUCUGAACCGAGAAGAAAAAACGAAAAACCGAUCUAAACCGGCGAAACCAAAAAAAACCAAACCGAUCUACUUGAAAUAAAACCGGAUCUAGGGUUUACCGGAAAACCAGAAAAAAAACCAGCGGCGGCGCGAUGAUUCCGGUGAACGUGCNNNNNNNNNNNNNNNNNNNNNNNNNNNNNNNNNNNNNNNNNNNNNNNNNNNNNNNNNNNNNNNNNNNNNNNNNNNNNNNNNNNNNNNNNNNNNNNNNNNNNNNNNNNNNNNNNNNNNNNNNNNNNNNNNNNNNNNNNNNNNNNNNNNNNNNNNNNNNNNNNNNNNNNNNNNNNNNNNNNNNNNNNNNNNNNNNNNNNNNNNNNNNNNNNNNNNNNNNNNNNNNNNNNNNNNNNNNNNNNNNNNNNNNNNNNNNNNNNNNNNNNNNNNNNNNNNNNNNNNNNNNNNNNNNNNNNNNNNNNNNNNNNNNNNNNNNNNNNNNNNNNNNNNNNNNNNNNNNNNNNNNNNNNNNNNNNNNNNNNNNNNNNNNNNNNNNNNNNNNNNNNNNNNNNNNNNNNNNNNNNNNNNNNNNNNNNNNNNNNNNNNNNNNNNNNNNNNNNNNNNNNNNNNNNNNNNNNNNNNNNNNNNNNNNNNNNNNNNNNNNNNNNNNNNNNNNNNNNNNCGGCGGCGACGGCUUUGGGCUCGGGCGGCUUCGGGCUGGGGCGGCUUGGGCCUCACCUUAUAAAGGGGCUGGGCGGGACGUGUCCGGCUCGAGGACGGCCCAGAGGCGGUUCGCGUUUUUUAAAAUAAAUUCCGCCGAAGGAAAAAUCCAAAAAAAUAAAAGAAAUCUAAAAAUGCCAAAAACAAUUUUCACCGUCUAAAUAAAAUAUAUAGAAUAAAGUGAACAUUUUUCUAGCCUAAAAUGCAAUUUUGAAAAAUGCAUAUUUUUCUAAUUCAAAUAAAAUAGCAGAAAAAUCCAAAUAAAAAUAUUUAUUUCAUUUUAACAUUUUUUCCUCCAAUAUUUCCUUUAUUUGGAGAAGUCCUUUUAUCUCCUCUCUUUUAUUUUUAUAGUGGAAAUAUUUCGGAGGGAAAAAUAUUAAAACAAAAGUGAUCCUCUUUUCAAAUUUGAGAAAAAAAUUCAAAUAUGAAAAUAGUGAAACCCCCCAACUCUCUCCGUGGGUCCUUGAGUUGCUUAGCAUUCCUACGAUCGCGGACGAGAUGCAAAUAAAAUAUGAUAUGCAUAUGAUGACCUAUGUAUAACAUUCCAAAUUGAAAAUUUGGGAUGUUACAUUCCAGUAGUGUUAAUGGGCGUACCUGAGAUAUAAUGUUUUAUUCUUUGCCCAUUGACGACCUUCGGAUUAGUACCUUCGGCAUUAUUUAUUUUGAUGGCUCCCUAUCGAUAAACCUCCUCGAUAAAGUUUUCCUGCAAAGAAUCUGAAACGAGAGUUGUAUAAAAAAACAUAUUCUCCAACUUUGAACUCACACUUUUGGAUUCUUUUAUCAUGCCAUCUUUUGACUUUUUCUUUAAAUAACUUGGCAUUUUCAUAAGCUUGGGUUCUCCAUUCAUCUAGUGAGCUAAUAUCAAAUAACCUCUUUUCAUCGGCAAGUUGGAAAUCAUAGUUUAGUUCUUUAAUUUCCCAAUAUGCUUUAUGUUCUAACUCAAGAUGCAAAUGACAAGCUUUUCCAUAAACCAUUUUAUAAGGAGACAUACCCAUAGGAUUUUCAUAUGCUGUUCUAUAAGCCCAAAGUGCAUUGUCUAAUUUCGUAGACCAAUUCUUCCGGGGCCUAUUGACAGUCUUUUGUAAAAUUAAUUUUAUUUCUCUAUUGCUAAGUUCAACUUGACCACUAGACUGAGGAUGAUAAGGCGAUGCAAUUCUAUGGUUAACAUCAUACUUAGCAAGCAUUUUACGGAAAGCGCCAUGAAUAAAAUGUGAACCACCAUCAGUCAUUAAAUAUGUAGGGACUCCAAACCUUGGGAAAAUAACUUCCUUCAGCAUUUUAAUAGAGGUGUUGUGAUCAGCACUACUAGUUGGAAUAGCUUCUACUCACUUAGUAACAUAAUCAACAACAACCAAAAUAUGAGUAUACCCAUUAGAGGAAGGAACAGGUCCCAUAUAAUCAAAUCCCCAAACAUCAAAUGGUUCAACAGCAAGUGAAUAAUUCAUAGGCAUUUCUUGACGCUUACCAAUAUUACAAAUCCUUUGACAUUCAUCACAAGAUAAAACAAACUUACGGGCAUCCUUGAAGAGAGUAGGCCAAUAAAAACCAGAUUGCAAUACCUUGUGAGCAGUUCUAUUUCCCGCAUGAUGCCCUCCAUAAGCUUCGAAGUGACAUUUCCAUAUGAUUUGUCCAUGUUCAUGCUCAGGUACACAACGUCUAAUAAUACCAUCUACUCCUUCUUCAUAAAGAUGUGGGUCAUCCCAAAAGUAAUGUCUUAAAUCAUAGAAGAUUUUUUUUCUUUUGUUAGUACGUGAAGCUAGGUGGUAUAUACUUAGCAACAAUGUAAUUAGCAUAGUCAGCAUACCAAGAAGUGUUAUGAGAAACAUGUAUUGCAGCUAAUUGUUCAUCAGGAAACUAUCAUUAAUAGGUUGUAGGUCAUCAAGAAUAUUUUCUAGCGUAGACAAGUUAUCAGCCAUGGGAUUCUCAGCUCCCUUUCUAUCAAUGAUAUGUAAGUCAAAUUCUUGCAGCAAAAGAACCCACCAAAUGAGUCUAGUUUAGCAUAUUUCUUUUCCAUAAGAUAUUUUAUAGCUUCAUGAUCAGUGUGAACAAUAACUUUAGAAUCAACAAUGUAAUAUCUGAAUUUAUCACAAGCAAACACCACUGCUGACGAGGACAUCAAUACCAUUGUUACACCCACAGCCCCUACUGCUACAUAUACGGGACCAAUUACUAGAGCUCGCGCACGCCAAUUAAAUUAUCAGGUACUUUCGUUUCUUGGUAAUGAUUCUAAUGUUCAUGAGAAUAUGAUGCUGCCUAAAUUGGAUACAUUUGUUUUGCUUACAAAUGAAGGGCCUAGCUUGGAGAAGGAUGAACAUUGGAGCAAGAACAAGCAUGGAGAUGCCAUGCGCAAGGGGAACAAGAACGGAGUUACAAGUGAUGAUUUCAGGACUUUGAAGCCAACAUAAUGGGUGCAUGAAGCCUUGGAUGAAAUAUACAAGAUGCCACUUCAUAAAUUUCGUCCCGAGGCUAUUAUAGGUGCUGCGUCACCUUUUUAAUGGGCCAGGCCCAUGUAAUUUCGAAAUACAUAAGUAUAGGCUAUUUUUAGAGUCCGUAUGUGUGGCGAAACAAGAGAUAGGGUUGAUUUCGGACCCCUCCACCAAGGGCCACGAAAUUCCCCCUCUCUUCCUCCAUAUAUAUAGCCCUUAGGGCACCGUUUAGACUUUGGGUUUUGUUUAGAUUAAAAGUUCGCCAUAGCUGCAACUUCGCGUACUUCGUUUGUGUUCAACGACCAGACAAAGGCGUCACAGAACCCCACCUUGAUCAAUAAAGCUUUCAUCUUAUAUUCGCAAUAUCCAGAUUGCAAUCUUAGUUUCUUGCUUGUUCUUCGUUUGCUCGCAGGAAACAGACCCUCGCGGUCAGGUUGAUCGUGCUCCGGCGUGGUCAAUAACCUCUCGGAGUUGGUUUAGCGAUUGCUAAGGCGCGACGUCCUCGCACGUUCAUCGUCGGAUCGUCAAAGUCGACUUCCACCAAAGCGAUAUCCAUCAUCUCAUCGAAAGACGGGACACCUUUGCCUCUAUCAAGUGGUAUCAGAUUUCCAGGUUGCUUGGUGAGAUUUUGCAGUUUUUCGUAGUUUAGAUCGAGUCUGUUCUUCAUACCUAUAGUCCACGAAAAAGCCAAAAAAAAAUUAGGGUUAGUUCAUCCCAUCCGAACCAAUCUGAGCCUUGCAUAAUCUUUUCUGUAUUUGCUUUGUUGAAUUUGCGGUUGCAUCGUCGUGUCGAGUUGCUGGUCUUAGCGUCUAGUCUUUUAGAGUUUCGAGUUCUGUUCACAGGUUGUCAUGUCGCCGCUGCCAUAUAUCACCACCGCAUCAUCAUCGUCGCUGUUGCCAUAUACCACCACCACAUAUUCACCGCCAAUCCGAAUCCAUAUACGCCACCACAUAUCCACCGCCAUCACGCCAAUCCGAGUUCACAUGCAACAUAUAUCCGCCACCUGUCCGUGUUCCACUAGAUUUAUCUCCGCCACCAGUCCGAGUUCCACCAGAUUCAUCUCCGCCACCAGUCCUAGUCCGAGUCCAGUAAUUGUUGCAUUGUUCUCGAUUUCCAGAUCAUGCGAUACUCGGAGUCGUGACAGAGAAGGACUCCCCAACUUCCGAGCCAUCCGCAGAAGAAAAAUAGCUUCAAAGUCCUGAAAUCAUCACUUGUAACUCCGUUCUUGUUCCCCUUGCGCAUGGCAUCUCCAUGCUUGUUCUUGCUCCAAUGUUCAUGCUUCUCCAAGCUAGGCCCUUCAUUUGUAAGCAAAACAAAUGUAUCCAAUUUAGGCAAUAUCAUAAUCUCAUGAACAUUAGAAUCAUUACCAAGAAACGAAAGUACCUGGUAAUUUAAUUGGCGUGCGCGAGCUCUAGUAAUUGGUCCAGUAUAUGUAGCAGUAGGGGCUGUGGGUGUAACAAUGGUAUUGAUGUCCUCAUCAUCCUCCCCUUCUUGAAAUGAAGUCGUCCUCGACGGAAGCGCAUUUUCCUCAGCCAAAUAAGGCUUCAAAUCUGCAAUGUUAAAAGUGGGACUAACCCCAAAAUCUACAGGUUGCUCAAGUUUAUAUGCAUUAUCAUUUAUUUUCUCUAACACCUUAAAAGGACCAUCAGCACGUGGCAUUAGCUUUGAUUUGCGCAGAUUAGGAAAUCUAUCUUUACGCAAAUGUAACCAAACAAGAUCUCUAGGCGCAAACACAACAUGUUUUCUACCCUUAUCUCCAGCAAGUUUAUAUUUAGCAUUCAUACGCUCAAUGUUUUCCUUAGUUAACUCAUGCAUUUUUAAAAUCAAUUCAGAACGUUCUUUAGCAUCAAAAUUAACCUUCUCUGAAGAUGGAAGAGGCAACAAAUCAAUAGGUGCACGAGGUAGGAAACCAUACACAAUUUCAAAAGGGCACAUCUUAGUAGUAGAAUGCAAUGAACGAUUAUAAGCAAAUUCAAUAUGAGGCAAGCAUUCUUCCCACAUUUUCUUGUUAUUCUUCAAAACAGCCCUAAGCAUAGUAGACAAUGUUCUAUUGACUACCUCAGUUUGUCCAUCAGUUUGGGGGUGACAAGUAGUACUAAAAAGCAGCUUAGUCCCCAACUUAGCCCAUAAACAUCUCCAAAAGUGGCUAAGAAAUUUAGUAUCAUGAUCUAAAACAAUAGUAUUUGGCACACCAUGUAAGCGAAUAAUUUCACGAAAGAACAAAUCAGCAACAUUAACAGCAUCAUCGCUUUUAUGACAUGGUAUAAAGUGUGCCAUUUUCGAGAACCUAUCCACGACAACAAAUAUGCUAUCCCUCCCCUUCUUUGUUCGAGGUAAACCUAAAACAAAGUCCAUAGAUAUAUCCUCCCAAGGAACACUAGGUACAGGCAAAGGCAUAUAUAAACCAUGAGGAUUGAGUCGUGACUUAGCUCUUUGACAUGUAGUGCAGCGAGCAACAAAACGCUCAACAUCCCGUCUCAUCUUUGGCCAAAAGAAAUGUGUAGCAAGUAUAUCCUCCGUCUUCUUGACGCCAAAGUGUCACAUUAAUCCUCCUCCAUGCGCCUCCUGCAACAACAAAAGACGAACGGAGCUAGCUGGAAUGCAUAGCUUGUUAGCACGAUACACAAAUCCAUCGUUAAGAAUGAACUUGUUCCAAGUUCUUCCUUCCUUACAAUUCUGCAAUACAUCUUUAAAUUCAGCAUCAUGAACAUAUUGAUCUUUGAUGGUCUCCAAACCAAAUAUUUUAAAGUCAAGUUGUGAAAGCAUAGUAUAACGACGAGACAAGGCAUCAGCAAUAACAUUUUCUUUACCCUUCUUGUGUUUAAUGACAUAAGGGAAAGUCUCAAUGAAUUCAACCCAUUUAGCAUGUCUACGGUUAAGUUUUGCUUGACUUUUAAUGUGUUUCAAAGAUUCAUGAUCAGAAUGUAUAACAAAUUCCUUGGGCCAUAAAUAAUGUUGCCAUGUUUCUAAGGUCCGAACAAGAGCAUAUAAUUCUUUAUCAUAAGUAGAAUAGUUCAGACUAUGCCCACUCAAUUUUUCAGAAAAGUAUGCAACAGGUUUUCCAUCUUGUAAUAACACACCUCCCAAUCCAAUUCCACUAGCAUCACAUUCAAGCUCAAAAGUCUUAUUGAAAUUAGGAAGUUGGAGUAAAGGAGCAUGUGUCAACUUAUCUUUCAAUACCGUGAAGGCUUCUUCCUGUGCGGUAUCCCAAACAAAAGGCACAUCCUUCUUUGUAAGCUCGUUGAGAGGUGCAGCAAUGGUGCUAAAAUCUCUCACAAAACGCCUAUAGAAACCAGCGAGGCCGAGGAAACUCCUCACUUGUGUGACCGUUUUGGGCUGCGGCCAACUCUCAAUAGCUUCUAUAUUGGCUUUAUCAACUUCAAUUCCCUAUGGAGUAACAACAUAGCCAAGAAAAGAUACUCGGUUUGUGCAAAAGGUGCACUUUCCAAGGUUUCCAAACAAACGUGCAUCACGUAGAGCAAUAAAAACAGCACGUAAAUGUUCCAAAUGUUCCUCCAAAGAUUUGCUAUAAAUCAAUAUGUCAUCAAAGUAAACUACCGCAAAUCGUCCAAUAAAAGCACGUAAAACUUCGUUCAUUAACCUCAUGAAAGUACUAGGUGCAUUAGUUAACCCAAAAGGCAUGACUAACCACUCAUAUAAUCCAAACUUAGUUUUAAAUGCUGUUUUCCAUUCAUCUCCCAACUUCAUACGAAUUUGAUGGUAUCCACUACGCAAAUCAACUUUGGAGAAUAUUGUAGAGCCACUCAAUUCAUCAAGCAUAUCAUCUAGCCUAGGAAUAGGACGACGAUAACGAAUAGUAAUAUUAUUAAUGCCUCUACAAUCAACGCACAUACGCGACGUACCAUCCUUUUUUGGCACUAAAAUGAUAGGAACAGCACAAGGACUAAGGGAUUCGCGUAUAUAACCUUUGUCGAGCAGUUCUUGUACUUGACGCAUAAUCUCCUUCGUCGCCUCUAGAUUGGUACGGUAUGGUGCACGGUUGGGUAGCGAAGCACCGGGAAUUAAGUCAAUUUGAUGCUCAAUCCCUCGAAUAGGUGGUAAUCCCGGUGGCACGUCUUGUGGAAAGACGUCAGCAAACUCCUGCAAAAUGUUAGUGACAGCAGGGGGCAAAGAGGAAGGCACGUCCUCGAAUGAAAAUAAUGCCUCUUUGCACACAAAAGCAUAGCAAACAGAUUUGCUAAAAUCUAGCUCAUCAAUAUCAGAUUUGGUGGCAAGUAAACAUGCACUUUUCAAUUUAAUUUCAGAAACAACAAUAGAUGGUUUAUUAUUAGGCUUCAUUUGGUGCUCAAAUUCUUUUGCCACAAUCUGAUUUUCACUCUUAUUUGUCUCCUGUUUUGCUUUAUUAGCUCUAUUAAUAUCAUCUUUCAAAAUGGAAUCAGGAGUCAUAGGAAGCAAAGUAAUAUUUUUAUUGUUAUGAACAAGAGUAUACUGAUUGUUUCUACCAUGGUGUAUAGAAUUUUUAUCAAAUUGCCAUGGUCUACCAAGUAAUAAGGAACAUGCUUGCAUAGGUACCACAUCACAAUCAACAUAAUCAGCAUAUGUAGAGAUACUAAAAUGCACACGAACAAUACGUGUUACCUUAACCUUGCCGCUGUAGUUGAACCAUUGGAUGUAGUAAGGAUGUGGAUGUGGUCUUGUGGUGAGAGAUAGCUUCUCCACCAUCUCCAUGCUAUCCAAGUUAUUGCAGCUCCCUCCAUCUAUGAUCACGCGAACAGAACGUUCCUUCACAAUUCCCUUUGUAUGGAACAAAUUAUGCCUCUGAUUUUGCUCAGCUUGUGUAACCUGCACACUCAAAACACGUUGAGCAACUAAACAUUCAUACCUGUCAGCAUCUUCAGGAACCAUGUAUUGCGUCUCAUGAUCAGAAUCAUCUCCACCGUGUUCGUCACGUGUAAUAAGAGCCAAAGUCUCCUCAUCAUAGUCACUAGCGGACUCAUACCCACCAUCCUCAGUAACAAUCAUCACACGCUUAGAUGGGCAUUCUCUCGCAUAAUGACCUCCACCCUUGCAACGUCGACAAAUAAUAUCAUGUGUUUGCCCUGUUGAUGCCAUGGAUGAAGAAGAGCUCUUUGCAGGCCCAGAAGGUGUGCUCUUGGCAGAUAGUGGUGAUUGUGCCUGCUUUAUUGUAUCACGACUGGAGGUGGCAGCCGACGGAGGCGCCGGUGUAGCAGAACGUGUGGAAGUAGAUGAUGCACGUGGUGUCCAUGAUGAAGGUCGACCUGCAGAAAAGUUAGUCCGCGCCAAUGCCUGUCGAUCAUGCACUUCACGUUCAGCUUUACAAGCAUGAUGGAAUAAACGAGUGAUAUUAGUAUACUCCUUAUACUCUAGAAUCGUCUGAAUCUCUCUGUUUAAUCCACCCAUAAAACGUGUGAUAGAGGCCAAGGUGUCCCGUCUUUCGAUGAGAUGAUGGAUAUCGCUUUGGUGGCAGUCGACUUUGACGAUCCGACUACGAACGUGCGAGGACGUCGCGCCUUAGCAAUCGCUAAACACAAGGUGUCCCGUCUUUCGAUGAGAUGAUGGAUAUCGCUUUGGUGGCAGUCGACUUUGACGAUCCGACUACGAACAUGCGAGGACGUCGCGCCUUAGCAAUCGCUAAACCAACUCCAAGAGGUUAUUGACCACGCCGGAGCACGAUCAACCUGACCACGAGGGUCUGUUUCCUGCGAGCAAACGAAGAACAAGCAAGAAACUGAGAUUGCAAUCUGGAUAUUGCGAAUUUAAGAUGAAAGCUUUAUUGAUCAAGGUGGGGUUCUGUGACGCCUUUGUCUGGUCGUUGAACACAAACGAAGUACGCGAAGUUGCAGCUAUGGCGAACUUUUAAUCUAAACAAAACCCAAG
rnacentral:lncRNA from 1 species